rnacentral:tRNA from 1 species
GGCGGGAUACUCAAGUUUGGUUAAGAGGCUGUUUUGCUAAAACAGUAGGGGCUACGGUCCACGCAGGUUCAAAUCCUGUUCCUGCCG